AUACGGAGGAUGCAAGCGUUAUCCGGAUUUAUUGGGUUUAAAGGGUUCGUAGGCGGAAAAUUAAGUCAGUGGUGAAAGCCUGCAGCUCAACUGCAGAACUGCCAUUGAUACUGAUUUUCUUGAAUUUAUAUGAAGUGGGCGGAAUGCGUCAUGUAGCGGUGAAAUGCACAGAUAUGACGCAGAACACCAAUUGCGAAGGCAGCUCACUAAUGUAAUAUUGACGCUGAGGAACGAAAGCAUGGGGAGCGAACAGGAUUAGAUACCCUAGUAGUCC
rnacentral:rRNA from 1 species